UUACAAGGUUUGGAACCCUAACGGGCCAGCCCAACAGUACUUUCACUAAUCCCUGCUCUUCAAUCGACUUACUCAAAUAACUGAUACUCCCUAAAAGCACAAGAAUCAGCAACACAUACAACUCACAUAGUGCUAACAGAACCCGACGGGAUUCAGGUUGACGACGUGACGGCGGAACCCCCUUCGACCCCUGCUCCACGGGGAGACGUGGAGAUGAUGACCGAGGACGAGAAGGAGAAGGCCAGAUUGUUUCUGCCUGAUUUGAGGCGAAGCCCCACUUCUAGUUCGCGGGGUCCGGCUGUGGAGGAGAUGACUUCGAAUGAAUCUGUUAGCAGUAAUAGCAUCUCAAACUUUAAAUGGGGUGCAACCAAUAGGCGGUCUCGGACGCAGUUUAGAGGACAAGGAGACACUGAGAUUUCGGCUCCAGCCUUAAUUGGAAGCUCAGACAAAGGGAUUUCUGGCCUCUCUGCUGGCACCUCAAAGGAGAAGAAAGGCACUGAAGAAACUCGUAGUGCACAGAACACAGGAGGUCCUCUCAGUCUCAACAUCAUCGAUGGUGUUACGUCAGGUUCUCCAGUACCUAGUGCAGUAACCCCUAACUACUCAAAACAUGAUUCCACAGAUUUAGGGCUUAUUAGUUCUUCAUCAAGUCCAGUAACAAGCGCACAACGGCCACUCCCAAGCUCCAGCGUAGGCUCAAACUCAAGAGAAUCAAAAAAGAGGGAUACCGCUUUGCAUCCACUGAUUUUCAAGGAAGCUGGCCUUCCAGAUAAUACUUUGUUGACUUACAAGUUGAAGAACGGAGAGGCACUACUGCAAGGGUAUAAGCAGGGAGCAGGUAUUGUCUGCAAUUGUUGCAAUCAAGAGGUUUCCCCUUCGGAAUUUGAAAAACACGCUGGCAUGGGGAAAAGACGACAACCGUAUCAAAACAUUUAUACAUCACAAGGAUUAACACUCCAUGAUGUUGCUCUGCAACUGCAUCAUUUGAAUUUGAAUUCAAAUGGAUUUAGCAAUGCUAGUGUUUCCAGCUUCAGUGACUACCCAAACCUUACUUCUUCAGGUUGUGGCAAAGAACCUUCUGUCAGUGGACCUAUUGUCCCCCUGAAACGGACUUUACAAGAAAGAGUGGUCCAAACAGAGAGUUGCUAUUUCUGUGGGUAUGGCCACACAGAGCUUGGAAAAAUUGAUCCAAACAUGAUUGUCUUCUGUAACCAGUGUGAGAGACCAUGCCACGUGAAAUGUUACAAUAGUAGAGUUGUAAAAAAGAAGGUGCCUCUGGAAAUUUUGAAAGACUACUUGUGUUUUCACUUCUUGUGCUGCCAAGAAUGUCAGUCACUUCGUGUCCGUCUAGAAGGAAUGGAGAAGUGUGAAGAGAUUGCCUUCCUUGGACGGAUAAGAUCCAAUAUUUGUUGGCGGCUUUUAAGUAGCGCUGACGCAAGUAGGGAUGUUAAACUCUACUUGUCUCAGGUCAUCGACAUCUUCAAAGAUGCAUUUUUGGAAUCUACUGAUGCGCACAGUGACAUCUCAGAUAUGGUUUAUGGUCCUUUUUUCAUAGAUUGGAAUAUGGAAACAAUCUAAACUUCAUUGUCGCAGAAAAAAUAGAGAAGGAGAGAAGGAUUUUCGAGGAAUGUAUUGUGUAGUGUUAACUGCAAGUACGCAUGUUGUGUCUGCUGCGAUUCUGAAAGUGCGCGUGGAACAUGCUGCAGAACUGGUCCUUAUUGCUACUCGUAGCGAGUGCAGAAAAAAGGGCUACUUCAGACUUCUCCUAGAGUCAAUCGAGACAAAUUUGAGAGCCUGUAAUGUAAGCCUUCUUAUGGCACCUGUUGACCCUGAAAUGGCACAAAUCUGGUCAGAUAAACUCGGGUUCACCAUUUUAUCAGCCGAUGAGAAGAAGUCCAUGCUGGAGUCGCACCCUUUGGUGAUGUUCAAGAACCUAGUCUUGGUGCAGAAACCACUUGCUUGAGCCAAUUUAAUUAAUGUUUGAUUAUACUACUCUUUUCAUCCUGAAAUAUAAUUCGUUUUAGGCUAAACAUACAUUCAUUAUUUAAAUUAUGAGUGUAGUUUGUAUGCAUGUCUAUAUUUCAUGGUUAUUUUUUCUUAAA